CAGUCGCCGCGGGAAUACGUAGGGUGCGAGCGUUAAUCGGAAUUACUGGGCGUAAAGCGUGCGCAGGCGGUUAUAUAAGACAGAUGUGAAAUCCCCGGGCUCAACCUGGGGCCUGCAUUUGUGACUGUAUAGCUAGAGUACGGUAGAGGGGGAUGGAAUUCCGCGUGUAGCAGUGAAAUGCGUAGAUAUGCGGAGGAACACCGAUGGCGAAGGCAAUCCCCUGGACCUGUACUGACGCUCAUGCACGAAAGCGUGGGGAGCAAACAGGAUUAGAUACCCGUGUAGUCCCUGUCUCUUAUAC
rnacentral:rRNA from 1 species